AGCCUUAAGUACCAUUUAAGGUAAGCCCUGCCCAGUGAAAUUAGGAUUUUUAACGGCCGCAGUACUUUGACUGUGCUAAGGUAGCAAAAUCAAUUGGCUUUUAAAUGGAGUCGAGUAUGAACGGGUUGAUUGGAAAACUACUGUCUCUUUUUUAUUUAGUUGAAUUUUCUUAGGGGGUGAAAAUUCCCUUGUAAAGAAAAAAGACGAGAAGACCCUAAGAGUUUUAAAGAUGUAGCUAUGAGUUGGCCAGGCUUUUUGUUGGGGCAACAAGAAGACAAAUAAUUCUUCUAUAUAAUAUAUACAAGCCAAAACUGUUGAGAGUGAUUAAACUACCCUAGGGAUAACAGCAUAAUUUUUUAAAGUUUGUGACCUCGAUGUUGGACUAGGAACUUAAUGACUAGCCGUCAAAAUAGUUUGUUCUGUUCGAACAGUUUCUCCUACAU
rnacentral:rRNA from 1 species